rnacentral:rRNA from 1 species
AGCAGGGGGGAUGCUCAGUAGCGGCGAGUGAGCGGCAAGAGCUCAGAUUUGAAAUCGUGCUUUGCGGGCACGAGUUGUAGAUUGCAGGUUGGAGUCUGUGUGGAAGGCGGUGUCCAAGUCCCUUGGAACAGGGCGCCCAGGAGGGUGAGAGCCCCGUGGGAUGCCGGCGGAAGCAGUGAGGCCCUUCUGACGAGUCGAGUUGUUUGGGAAUGCAGCUCCAAGCGGGUGGUAAAUUCCAUCUAAGGCUAAAUACUGGCGAGAGACCGAUAGCGAACAAGUACUGUGAAGGAAAGAUGAAAAGCACUUUGAAAAGAGAGUGAAACAGCACGUGAAAUUGUUGAAAGGGAAGGGUAUUGCGCCCGACAUGGGGAUUGCGCACCGCUGCCUCUCGUGGGCGGCGCUCUGGGCUUUCCCUGGGCCAGCAUCGGUUCUUGCUGCAGGAGAAGGGGUUCUGGAACGUGGCUCUUCGGAGUGUUAUAGCCAGGGCCAGAUGCUGCGUGCGGGGACCGAGGACUGCGGCCGUGUAGGUCACGGAUGCUGGCAGAACGGCGCAACACCGCACAAAUCUUGAACAACGGACC